UGUGGGAGCGGGCUUGCUCGCGAAGGCGGUGGGUCAGUCAACCUCAAUGCUGAUUGAUCCGACGCCUUCGCGAGCAAGCCCGCUCCCACA
rnacentral:misc_RNA from 1 species